rnacentral:tRNA from 1 species
AGGGAUGUAGCUCAGUGGCACAGCAUCUGCCUGGCAAGCACAGGGUCUUGAGUUUGAUCCCUGGUAUCCCAA